rnacentral:rRNA from 1 species
GACGAAGGUGGCAACCGUUGCUCGGAUUCACUGGGCAUAAAGCGCGCGUAGGUGGCCAGGUAGGUCAUUGGUGAAAUCCAACGGCAUAACCGUUGAACUGCCGGUGAUACCGCCUGGCUUGAGGACGGGAGGGGAGAGUGGAACUCUUGGUGUAGCGGUGAAAUGCGUAGAUAUCAAGAGGAACGCCGGUGGCGAAAGCGACUCUCUGGACCGUUCCUGACACUGAGGCGCGAAAGCUAGGGGAGCAAACAGG